CACUCCUUCCUCUCUCUCUCUCACUCGGCUGCUCUCUCUCACUCACACUAUCUCCAUUGAAAAACUCAUUUCAUCAUCAUUCUUGCUUGGAUUUUGCUUGUUGGAUCAUAGGAACUUGCUAGGAAAUCACUUCACUUAAGAUGAUGGUGUGCCACUUGAGGCCGUUGGUCGUGAGGAUGGCGAGGACUUCGUGGAUUAUGCCGGAGAGUAGAUGGUAGCUUUGGUUAGGCUACAUUUUUGUUUAGGCUUAGGGCCUAGUUUCUUUUGGAUGACUGUAUAGUAUACUCAGACAUGUUUAGUGCCUUUUGGCCGUGCGAUACAUUCGGUUCACGAGUUCUGUUUUGUUUAGGUUUGUGAACUUGAUGUAUCCUUUUGGAAUGUAAAUUAUUCAGGUGCACACUUUGCUUCUCGGAAGCCCGUGAAAUACAAUCUUUGAUAUUGUAUAUUGAUUUCUGUUUGUAUGGUUUAAUGAAUGAGCUUGUAAA